GCCGGGAUUGAGGCUGGGGAGGAGCCGCCAGAGGUUCGGUUCUGGGACUAGGGAAACUCCGGGGCUGGGGAAACCUGAUGCUAACAAGGUAAGCAAUAUUUUUAGAGGGUCUCAGCCCUUUCUUUUCUUUUUUUUUUUUUUUUUUCUUGUUCUGUGUCUGGGAGUUCUGAUAUUUGAAAACUUUUAAUGCUUAGGGGUUCUGUGUUUCCUGCCCCACACGUGGCAUACUCCCUGUUCUCUGAAUUACUUGUUUUUUUCUGAAUUUACAAUUACAUUUAAGGGCUGGCAAAUUUAAGCCUCCCAGGGAAUAUCUGCCAGUUUGUUUAUCCCUGGUCUUUGCCUCCUUUUCUCUAGCUUCUUUGGUAAUUUAAACAUCACUUAUCCCACCCCACCCCACCACCCCCCAUCGCCCACCUCCCAGCACAGAAAACUUUUCUAACAAUACAGUAAAAUCUACCUUUUCAGAAAAUAAAGUCGAACUUUAAAUUAACAAUACGUAUACAUUCAUUCAUUCACACUCACUUAAUUUUAUUUUUUUUUUGUGACCACAGGAACUUGGACCUUUUCAUGGGUCGUUUGGACUUAAAACCUGUUUUUACCUCAAGGGACUGUCUUGAGGUGAUUGUGCUCCCCUUGUGUUCCGCCUGGAUCCUGUGUCUGCUUGGGUCAGGAUGGGAAGGAAUUUUGCCUCUACCUGGGCUGGGAUGGAGAAAGCAGCUUUCCCUCUUUCCUCUGUGACUCGUGUGUUGCUCUCCGCUUUUCCCUGCCCGGGUCCCACCUCUGCCUGGGCUGGGAUGGGAAAAGAACCCAGCUUCUACCUGGGCUAGGGUGGGAAAAGCAGCCUCCCCUCACUCGCUUCGUCCCUUCCCCAGCCAAAUCCCUCGCAGGAUACUGAAAUUGUGGAUAGAAGGACUUGCUUCAUGGCAAAAUCCACGUCUCAUUCAGGCAAGCACACAGUCAUGCCCACUAAACCAGACAAUUCCUUACAGCUUCCAUGCUCCUGUCUGGGUUUUCGUGCACGAGAAUUACAGGUGAUUUUGCCGCGAUCUUCCAGGGAGCUCUUUCCUUGCUCAGUCUAUAUCGUGAGGUACAUCGUUGGGUUCCGAGAACCACUGACAAACAAUGGCCACAGUAGUGGGGAGCCUCCCCAAAAUCGCAGUGCUUCUCAGGGCUCCAAGGACAUCGUGGGUUUCGGCACCAAAUUGUUAUAAAUGAGAAACAAUAAGUCUCAAUAUUCAGCAAAAUUUAGAUUGCUUUAUUUUAUGUAGAUGGAGCAAGCAGCGCUGGGGAACAUGAGGGGUCACUGCCCGCUCCAUGCUCCAUUGAAGCUUGGUUUGCAGCCUCUUCCUAUAGUAUGGUCUCUCGUUGUAAUCAAUAAUUUUUUUGCUGUCAUAAUUUUGCCAGGUAAGCAGCAGUGAUUGAAAUAAACAUCCAUAAAGUCUCUGGGUGAUAGUCAGUCUCAUAGAUAACUAUCUGGUCUUGUUAGAUAAAAACCGGCAAAACUCAGGAAGUCUUUGUAGAUAGGCAGCAUUGAUCAAACAAAGGCAGGAAGUCUGAUUUUGCAAAAUCUAGCAGACUAUCGGAAAGUCUGAUUUUGCAAGCUGGUAGUAGAUACAACUUAUUUAGAAAACAUAAUAUUCAUAACGGGGGGGAUUUAAAACAGAAUUAUUUGAUAAUAUAUUUUCCUCUAUUUAGUGUCUGUGCUUCACUUUACACCUUAGUAUUCUGGUUUAAUCAAACCCCAAUACUUCUAUGAUUAACAUGAAUCUUUUAUCAAUUAUCACACAAAUUAGCCAAAUCUUAAGAAAAGAUCUUUCCCCCUCCUUUCCCUUCUACUCAGGCUUAGCUUUAUCCCAUAUUCCCUCCCCCUUCCCCAGCCAAAGGCACAGGAAUAGUGGUCACAGUCAGGUCGAGCCUCCCCUUCAGGGACAGGAAUCCUUGUCCUGCUCCAGCCUGAGGUCCCCCCCAUGGGACACAGUUCCUCAGAAACAGGCUGCUCCGGCGGGGAUCCGCCAUAGGCUCACAAGUCUUGGCAGGGACAACUUCCAUGGUCCUACAGGGGCUUCCACGGGCUCGGGGCAUCCAUCUCUCAGGCAUCCCCUGCUCCAGCCUGGGCUCAUGCUGAAACUGCAGGGGAGUCCCUGCUCCAUCCAGGCCUCAGCCAGCGCUCCCACCGCCUUCAGCUCCAGCUCCCGCCGAGCUCCUGGCAGUUCAGGGCAGCAGCGACUCCUCGGCCUCAGCUCGGGCCGGGCCCUGCCCGAGUCUGGAAGCGCCAGAGGCCUGAGAGUGCCCCGGGCUGCUGCCGGGGGAUUGGCCAGCCUGCCCCUCACUGCGAUUGGGUGAUUCUGCUGUCACUCCUCGUUCUCAUGCGCUGAUUGGGCAGAGCAUGGACAAGCGCGGCCCUGGGGCCGCCGCCAGGGCGCUGCUAUGGCAGCGAAGACACCAGUGUCGGAGUGUCUGUGUGGGCCCGGUAGCGACCGGAGCCCAGUGAGGCGGUGGAGGAGCUUGGAGGCAGCCCCAGCACAGGAACUUUAUCUUCAUUCUGCUGACUUUGUGGACUCCAUGCUUUAUUUCUUCUCAUCCAGGGGAGCUCAGGACAUUGAGAAUCUUAUCCAGGCAUAAAGAAUUUAAAAUUGUAUCCAGAUCAUGAAGAAGCCACGUGGGCAUCUGGAGGCUUCUUCCAGGUGGAGAGCUGAGCCAAGGAUUUUUCAUUCCUGGGGCGUGGGUGAAUGGAGGAGGAGGAAAAGCCCCAGAGAUGCCACAGGAGGAGGGGCUGCAAACCUAGCCCGGGGAGCUGUGAGGAGGAAAGACCCUCCCUGAGCCGGGUACGCAGCCGGAGAUCCAGGCUGAGCUCAGAGCUGGUGGAGAAGCCUCAUGGAGGGGAGAAGCCCCACAAGUGCUUGGAAUGUGGGAAGGGUUUCAGCUAUAGCUCUGACCUGAUCCGGCACCACACAGAUGAUCCACACAGGCGAACGGCUCUACUCGUGCUUGGAAUGUGGGAAGAGCUUUGGGCGGAAGUGCAGCCUGAGAAAACACCAGAGCAUCCACACCAGGGAGAGCCCCUACAAGAGUCCUGAGUGUGGGAAGAGAUUUCCGAGAAGCUCCACUCUCUUCAGACAUGAGCGGAUUCACACAGAGGAGAGGCCCUUCCGCUGCCCAGACUGCAGGAAGGGAUUCAACAGCAACUACACCCUCAUUCUGCACCGGCGCAUCCACACUGGGGAGAGGCCCUACGAGUGUCCUGCGUGUGGGAAGAGCUUCUCCAGGAGCUGUCACUUGACCCAACACCAACAGAGGCACCUCUAAGGGAAGCCCUGCGAAUGUGGGAAGAGCUUUGUGCUCUGCUCCAGCUCCAUCCCCUGUGAGAGGAUCGGCGUUGGAUGAUCCCGAGUGACCCCUGUUGGGCAAAGCCCUGGUGAUCCGUGGUCCUGGUGAUCCCCGUUGGGUGGGGGGUAGGGGAUGGAGAGAUUUCUUUCCCUUCUCCUUGUCCUGCUAUGAUUUGGUUGGUAAUAAAUUCCCUCCCUGUGCCCAG